CGAUAGGUCAUCACUUCUGGAAUGGGUAAUGACUUAAAUCUAUAUGGCCCCUGGAUUGGACUGCGGCCGAUCAGGCUGUUGGUGAGGUAAUGGCCCACCAAACCUGUAACCGGUACGGGCUCUGAGAGGAGGAGCCCGGAGAUGGGCACUGAGACAAGGGCCCAGGCCCUAUGGGGCGCAGCAGGCGCGAAACCUCUGCAAUAGGCGAAAGCUUGACAGGGUUACUCUGAGUGAUUUCCGUUAAGGAGAUCUUUUGGCACCUCUAAAAAUGGUGCAGAAUAAGGGGUGGGCAAGUCUGGUGUCAGCCGCCGCGGUAAUACCAGCACCCCGAGUGGUCGGGACGUUUAUUGGGCCUAAAGCAUCCGUAGCCGGUUCUACAAGUCUUCCGUUAAAAACACAUGCUUAACAGAUGGGCUGCGGAAGAUACUAUAGAGCUAGGAGGCGGGAGAGGCAAGCGGUACUCGAUGGGUAGGGGUAAAAUCCGUUGAUCCAUUGAAGACCACCAGUGGCGAAGGCGGCUUGCCAGAACGCGCUCGACGGUGAGGGAUGAAAGCUGGGGGAGCAAACCGGAUUAGAUACCCGGGUAGUCCCGGCUGUAAACGAUGCAGCCUCCUGUCAUGGGUUGGCUUAUUGCUAAUUCAGUGCCGCAGGGAAGCCGUUAAGUUUGCCGCCUUGGGUACGGUCGCAAGACUGAAACUUAAAUGGAGAUCCAGGGAGCUCACAAGGGGUGAAACCGUGCGGUUCAAUUGGAUUCAACACCGGA
rnacentral:rRNA from 1 species